rnacentral:rRNA from 1 species
AUUGAACGCUGGCGGCAGGCCUAACACAUGCAAGUCGAGCGGGGUUUUCGGACCUAGCGGCGGACGGGUGAGUAAUGCGCAGGAAGCUACCCGAUAGAGGGGGAUACCAGUUGGAAACGACUGUUAAUACCGCAUAAUGUCUACGGACCAAAGUGUGGGACCUUCGGGCCACAUGCUAUCGGAUGCGCCUACGUGGGAUUAGCUAGUUGGUGGGGUAAUGGCUCACCAAGGCGACGAUCCCUAGCUGGUUUGAGAGGAUGAUCAGCCACACUGGAACUGAGACACGGUCCAGACUCCUACGGGAGGCAGCAGUGGGGAAUAUUGGACAAUGGGCGCAAGCCUGAUCCAGCCAUGCCGCGUGUGUGAAGAAGGCCUUCGGGUUGUAAAGCACUUUCAGUAGGGAGGAAGGGUUAAGUGUUAAUAGUACUUAACUUUGACGUUACCUACAGAAGAAGCACCGGCUAACUCUGUGCCAGCCGCCGCGGUAAUAC